UUAAAUCUGUAGCAGAGCCCCCAAUCCCGGGUCAAGGGGUUUUCCCUGAGAAGGAAGUCCAGGCAGAUAGCUGCAGUCAAGGCCAAGUGUGCCAGGCCAUCCACUCGGCGUACGCUAAGCCCCUGUCAUCAGGUGGCGGACGGACCGGGUUUCCUGCACUCGUGAGCCCUCCGGAAGUAUGACGGGACCCCGUGAUGAAGCCCACACAUCUUGUAUUUCAAGGUCCCGUCUGGGUAGCUCACGGGAACGGCCGAGGAGCUGCGGUGAGUCGGGGAGGUAGGGAGGAGGAGAGGGGGUCCACUCCAGUUUCAGCCGUGCCCAGUCACCUUGUCUCCACUUAACCUAGGCGUACCUCGUGACGGCAGCGUCGGCCUCGGAGCACGGCCGAAGCGUGCGGCCCGAACGCCAGGGCCCUCUUAGGAGAAGACGAAGAGAUAAGAGCCUGGUGACAGCUGGAACUUCCCAGACGGGGAGGUGGCCUUCUUUUGCACUCGACAGGGAUUUGCACGCCCAGAAGUGUGCAAGAUAAGUCGAGGGCUACGACCCACUGAGGGGAGGGAAGCGGGGUGCUGGCUUGGGACUGCCCGGAAGGGAUUUUUGAGUCUGCUUUGGAGAUGGGGAUGUCUAAGAAGUGUCUCAUUAGGCCACCUAAAGGGAAAGCGUCUCUUUUGAUCUCAGCGCUGAGGUGCGCAGGGCAGAGCAGUUCCGGUGUGGGUCGUGUCACUUGUCUCUUGUGCAUUCUGUGUUGUUUGGGUCUGUCACGUCACUUGUCUUUUUUUACCUUAGCUGUCUGAGGGUCAUCUUGGCAUCUGUGAUCUUUGCGUUCCUCGGCCCGGCACCAACGCCACAGGCCUUUUGACUCGGGAGUCCGGACAGGCAUCGCAGUCGUAUCUGUCUUUAGAAGCAUCCGGUCAGAUGUCUUUUAAGGUCUCGUUCUGAGCGGUAGCGACAGCCGCGCACCCCAACGAUCCAUUAUAGCGGCUUAGGACUUGUGAGAAUGCCAAGCUAGGUAGCUCAUUCUUACCGUAGGCUUUUCAGGCAUCCGCUUGUGCAGUUCUCGGAAGACAUCGUUUUCUUAGCAUCUUCUUCCUGCAGGGUUCUUUGAGCCUCAUCAGCUCCGAGCCGUCCAUCUCACCUAGGUCAUCUCGUUCCGCAAUCUCUCUGUCCUCGCGGGCAUUUUUCUCACCAAGAGAUUUUUCUCCUUGUUGCGUCCCCUCGUUUGUCGUGUCCUGUCCUGUGUCACGGGUGUCUGCACAUAUUUGUCCCGGAGCUGCUCUGUCCUGCUGCAUAGCCUGGUGUAAUUGCACAAGUCCUGGAGACCUGCAAUUUGGAAUGGGGGAUGUAGUUGUAUUCUAGAUGGUAUUCCUAGAUUCACACAGGAUGCUUGGACCUGUUAAGUUAUCCUACAGUUGUUUGAAUUUUCUCCUAACUUUCUUUCAGAUGCAGACAUUUAAGAUCUGUGGCAGAGCGCCCCUCCUGGGUCAGGGGGUUUUCCCUGAGAAGGAAGUCCAGGCAGAUAGCUGCAGUCAAGGCCAAGUGUGCCAGGCCAUCCACUCGGCGUACGCUAAGCCCCUGUCAUCAGGUGGCGGACGGACCGGGUUUCCUGCACUCGUGAGCCCUCCGGAAGUAUGACGGGACCCCGUGAUGAAGCCCACACAUCUUGUAUUUCAAGGUCCCGUCUGGGUAGCUCACGGGAACGGCCGAGGAGCUGCGGUGAGUCGGGGAGGUAGGGAGGAGGAGAGGGGGUCCACUCCAGUUUCAGCCGUGCCCAGUCACCUUGUCUCCACUUAACCUAGGCGUACCUCGUGACGGCAGCGUCGGCCUCGGAGCACGGCCGAAGCGUGCGGCCCGAACGCCAGGGCCCUCUUAGGAGAAGACGAAGAGAUAAGAGCCUGGUGACAGCUGGAACUUCCCAGACGGGGAGGUGGCCUUCUUUUGCACUCGACAGGGAUUUGCACGCCCAGAAGUGUGCAAGAUAAGUCGAGGGCUACGACCCACUGAGGGGAGGGAAGCGGGGUGCUGGCUUGGGACUGCCCGGAAGGGAUUUUUGAGUCUGCUUUGGAGAUGGGGAUGUCUAAGAAGUGUCUCAUUAGGCCACCUAAAGGGAAAGCGUCUCUUUUGAUCUCAGCGCUGAGGUGCGCAGGGCAGAGCAGUUCCGGUGUGUGUCGUGUCACUUGUCUCUUGUGCAUUCUGUGUUGUUUGGGUCUGUCACGUCACUUGUCUUUUUUUACCUUAGCUGUCUGAGGGUCAUCUUGGCAUCUGUGAUCUUUGCGUUCCUCGGCCCGGCACCAACGCCACAGGCCUUUUGACUCGGGAGUCCGGACAGGCAUCGCAGUCGUAUCUGUCUUUAGAAGCAUCCGGUCAGAUGUCUUUUAAGGUCUCGUUCUGAGCGGUAGCGACAGCCGCACACCCCAACGAUCCAUUAUAGCGGCUUAGGACUUGUGAGAAUGCCAAGCUAGGUAGCUCAUUCUUACCGUAGGCUUUUCAGGCAUCCGCUCGUGCAGUUCUCGGAAGACAUCGUUUUCUUAGCAUCUUCUUCCUGCAGGGUUCUUUGAGCCUCAUCAGCUCCGAGCCGUCCGUCUCACCUAGGUCAUCUCGUUCCGCAAUCUCUCUGUCCUCGCGGGCAUUUUUCUCGCCAAGAGAUUUUUCUCCUCGUGGCGUCCCCUCGUUUGUCGUGUCCUGUCCUGUGUCACGGGUGUCUGCACAUAUUUGUCCCGGAGCUGCUCUGUCCUGCUGCAUAGCCUGGUGUAAUUGCACAAGUCCUGGAGACCUGCAAUUUGGAAUGGGGGAUGUAGUUGUAUUCUAGAUGGUAUUCCUAGAUUCACACAGGAUGCUUGGACCUGUUAAGUUAUCCUACAGUUGUUUGAAUUUUCUCCUAACUUUCUUUCAGAUGCAGACAUUUAAGAUCUGUGGCAGAGCGCCCCUCCUGGGUCAGGGGGUUUUCCCUGAGAAGGAAGUCCAGGCAGAUAGCUGCAGUCAAGGCCAAGUGUGCCAGGCCAUCCACUCGGCGUACGCUAAGCCCCUGUCAUCAGGUGGCGGACGGACCGGGUUUCCUGCACUCGUGAGCCCUCCGGAAGUAUGACGGGACCCCGUGAUGAAGCCCACACAUCUUGUAUUUCAAGGUCCCGUCUGGGUAGCUCACGGGAACGGCCGAGGAGCUGCGGUGAGUCGGGGAGGUAGGGAGGAGGAGAGGGGGUCCACUCCAGUUUCAGCCGUGCCCAGUCACCUUGUCUCCACUUAACCUAGGCGUACCUCGUGACGGCAGCGUCGGCCUCGGAGCACGGCCGAAGCGUGCGGCCCGAACGCCAGGGCUCUCUUAGGAGAAGACGAAGAGAUAAGAGCCUGGUGACAGCUGGAACUUCCCAGACGGGGAGGUGGCCUUCUUUUGCACUCGACAGGGAUUUGCACGCCCAGAAGUGUGCAAGAUAAGUCGAGGGCUACGACCCACUGAGGGGAGGGAAGCGGGGUGCUGGCUUGGGACUGCCCGGAAGGGAUUUUUGAGUCUGCUUUGGAGAUGGGGAUGUCUAAGAAGUGUCUCCUUAGGCCACCUAAAGGGAAAGCGUCUCUUUUGAUCUCAGCGCUGAGGUGCGCAGGGCAGAGCAGUUCCGGUGUGUGUCGUGUCACUUGUCUCUUGUGCAUUCUGUGUUGUUUGGGUCUGUCACGUCACUUGUCUUUUUUUACCUUAGCUGUCUGAGGGUCAUCUUGGCAUCUGUGAUCUUUGCGUUCCUCGGCCCGGCACCAACGCCACAGGCCUUUUGACUCGGGAGUCCGGACAGGCAUCGCAGUCGUAUCUGUCUUUAGAAGCAUCCGGUCAGAUGUCUUUUAAGGUCUCGUUCUGAGCGGUAGCGACAGCCGCGCACCCCAACGAUCCAUUAUAGCGGCUUAGGACUUGUGAGAAUGCCAAGCUAGGUAGCUCAUUCUUACCGUAGGCUUUUCAGGCAUCCGCUUGUGCAGUUCUCGGAAGACAUCGUUUUCUUAGCAUCUUCUUCCUGCAGGGUUCUUUGAGCCUCAUCAGCUCCGAGCCGUCCGUCUCACCUAGGUCAUCUCGUUCCGCAAUCUCUCUGUCCUCGCGGGCAUUUUUCUCGCCAAGAGAUUUUUUCUCCUCGUGGCGUCCCCUCGUUUGUCGUGUCCUGUCCUGUGUCACGGGUGUCUGCACAUAUUUGUCCCGGAGCUGCUCUGUCCUGCUGCAUAGCCUGGUGUAAUUGCACAAGUCCUGGAGACCUGCAAUUUGGAAUGGGGGAUGUAGUUGUAUUCUAGAUGGUAUUCCUAGAUUCACACAGGAUGCUUGGACCUGUUAAGUUAUCCUACAGUUGUUUGAAUUUUCUCCUAACUUUCUUUCAGAUGCAGACAUUUAAGAUCUGUGGCAGAGCGCCCCUCCUGGGUCAGGGGGUUUUCCCUGAGAAGGAAGUCCAGGCAGAUAGCUGCAGUCAAGGCCAAGUGUGCCAGGCAGUCCUCUUGCGAGAUGUCUCUGAUCCCAGAUGUCUGAGGCCAGGUGUCAUUGCUGCCCUAGGCGUGUGAAGGAACAGAGUCAAGCGGGUAUCCUCCUGGCAGCCUGUUGAGUCGCAUCAAGAUUUCAGGUACCGUGAGGAGGCGCAUAGCUGAAGUUUGGAAACGGCAGCACCGAAGCGGAUGUAGAGAACAUGUCGCCGUCCACGUCCGGCUGACGAUGGAUUUUGUCCGGUCGUCUUGCAAAAGCUAAGUGUCGGGGCCAGUAGGUGGGAGAAGGGGAAAAACCUUUACUAUCACAGGAGACAAUUAGAUGUUAGCUUAGAGGAGAGGCCCAUAGUGGGACGGGCCCCUUGGAAGCAGAGGGAGAGGGUUUCUCCUCAGCCUCACCAGAGUCUUCGCCGGGCAGGGCAGUUCCGAUCCGUCUUCGCGUCCUCGCGAGGUUUGCGUCGGCGGCCUUCUUCGACUCUCGACGUCGUCGUGGAUCUUUUCACCCGAGGAGCUCGCCUUCACGUCCGGAGCUAUAGCCACGGUCACGCCGUAGUCAUCGCUUUCUUGUCCAGGCCUACUGAGCUUCUUAGGCUUCCUCUUAAGUCCUUUGGCACUAACAUCUUGAAAGGAGUUAAAUUUCAUCAUCACAUGCUAUUGCCCUAGGGCUUUCUUUCCUUUGGCAUCAUCGGCCUAUGACUCAUCUUGGACUAGCAAUCUUGGGUCCAUAAGGUGGAACUGCCAGGCAGUUUCCACUCGUGUCUGUGUUAUGUCGUCCGUGUCUGUGUUAUGUCGUCCGUGUCUGUGUUAUGUCGUCCGUGUCCAUUGAUUUCUGCGUCAUAGGCCUUUGUUACAUCUCGAGGCUUUAUCGGCAUUGUUCUCUGCCGUAUCGGCCAUAUUUUACUCGUGUACCUUCCUGGAUAUCGCUUAUUCCGGCAUCGUUACAUUUUUACUUUUUGAGACGGGAAGAAGUACAGGAGACGUUCUCAUCCAUCUUCCUUCUCACCUUCGGUAGCGCCUUCUCUUCCCGUGCCAUUCUCUCGGACUUCUAGAGGGAGCAUAUUAGACCCUCAUCACCUGACCGCAGUAGUUCCGUAGCUUGCGCCUUCUCAAAGGGUAUAGGGCUCAACAAUUAAUCUUCCGGAGAGUUACGUCAAGUCCUCACUUAUAUUGUAUCUACGUCGGCUUAUAUUGUACGUGCUUAGGUUGUACCUACCUAUGUUGGCUUAUACUGUAUGUGCUUAUAUUGUAUGUACUUAUGUCGUAUGUACCUAUGUCGGUUUAUAUUGUAUGUACUUAUACUGUAUGUACCUACGUUGGCUUAUAUUGUGCAUAUAUUGUAUGUACCUACCUUGGCUUAUGUUGUACACGCCUCUGUCGUGCCACUUACGAUCGGAGCUGCCCUGCCCAGGCGCGUAGUCACGGUUAGGUAGAGCAGUUAUAAAACUUUACAGUUCAUCUGUCUUCUAUGGGGGUUUUGGGUACAAAAUUUAUGGACCCGGAGCGGGAAUAGCUCCUAGCCGUCAGAUAGUCACUCGUCGACCGCCUCCCGUCGUCUCUGUCGUCUCGCAGGUCCCCGGGUCCCUACACGUUAUCCCGGAAUCUACCGCCGGACAUCGAAGAGCCGCGGUCAGAAGACGCGUCGAAGCGUCAACGUAGCGUUUCAAGUAAGGGUCGCGGUCAGCGUGUAAGCGGAAGAGCGCGUGAGAGAGCGUGAUUGUCCGUGUCUGUCUGUGAGAGCUUGUGUCUGCAGGUGUGAGUGUGUGUCGACCGGUUCUAACCUUGUGCGUAUGGCCUUUGCCUUUCAGGUUUUUCAGCUCAUUUUUAAAUUUAGAAUAAAAAAUCCCCAGCCGGGGGGUUUUUUUUUUUUUUCCCCCCGGCUGGGUUUUUUUUUUCCUCGGUCCCGGCCGGUCCGCGAGGCGACGUUCAUCGCCAAAGUUCGGAGGCGGACCGUCCCGGGACCGGGGUUUUCGUCAGGCAGGAGAAUUUUUUCGGAGGCUCCCGGGAACCACGUUCCCGAGGAGCGUCGUGCAUGCGUGUCGAUGGCCGGGGGUUAGGGGAGCGGUUGAGACGAGAGCGAGGGUGGGUUUGUGCGUGAGCUGAAGGAGGGCUCUGUGUGUGUGUGUUUGUGUGUGCGUGUCGACCGGUUCUAACCUUGUGCGUAUGGCCUUUGCCUUUCAGGUUUUUCAGCUCAUUUUUAAAUUUAGAAUAAAAAAUCCCCAGCCGGGGGGUUUUUUUUUUUUCCCCCCGGCUGGGUUUUUUUUUCCUCGGUCCCGGCCGGUCCGCGAGGCGACGUUCAUCGCCAAAGUUCGGAGGCGGACCGUCCCGGGACCGGGGUUUUCGUCAGGCAGGAGAAUUUUUUCGGAGGCUCCCGGGAACCACGUUCCCGAGGAGCGUCGUGCAUGCGUGUCGAUGGCCGGGGCUUAGGGGAGCGGUUGAGACGAGAGCGAGGGUGGGUUUGUGCGUGAGCUGAAGGAGGGCUCUGUGCGUGUGUGUUUGUGUGUGCGUGUCGACCGGUUCUAACCUUGUGCGUAUGGCCUUUGCCUUUCAGGUUUUUCAGCUCAUUUUUAAAUUUAGAAUAAAAAAUCCCCAGCCGGGGGGUUUUUUUUUUUUUUCCCCCCGGCUGGGUUUUUUUUUCCUCGGUCCCGGCCGGUCCGCGAGGCGACGUUCAUCGCCAAAGUUCGGAGGCGGACCGUCCCGGGACCGGGGUUUUCGUCAGGCAGGAGAAUUUUUUCGGAGGCUCCCGGGAACCACGUUCCCGAGGAGCGUCGUGCAUGCGUGUCGAUGGCCGGGGCUUAGGGGAGCGGUUGAGACGAGAGCGAGGGUGGGUUUGUGCGUGAGCUGAAGGAGGGCUCUGUGCGUGUGUGUUUGUGUGUGCGUGUCGACCGGUUCUAACCUUGUGCGUAUGGCCUUUGCCUUUCAGGUUUUUCAGCUCAUUUUUAAAUUUAGAAUAAAAAAUCCCCAGCCGGGGGGUUUUUUUUUUUUUCCCCCCGGCUGGGUUUUUUUUUCCUCGGUCCCGGCCGGUCCGCGAGGCGACGUUCAUCGCCAAAGUUCGGAGGCGGACCGUCCCGGGACCGGGGUUUUCGUCAGGCAGGAGAAUUUUUUAGGAGCCUCCCGGGAACCACGUUCCCGAGGAACCACGAUUGCCGGGGCUUAGCGGAGCGGUUGAAAUGAGAGCAACAGUGAGUUUGCGUGCAAUGUGAAGGAGGCGGUCACGGUGGAUGACCACUGUUUUCUGUGUGCUAUUUUUGUUUUGGUCUUUCCUCUAAGAAUCAAACAAAAUGUAAUGUAAAUAGAAAAAAGUUUAUAUUGUGUUAAUAUGCGUUCGGUUUCUAUUGCCCCGUAUUGUUCCGUGUUUGCAUUUGCCGCCGCAUUUCCACAUACGGGUCUGUACGUAAGUGGGAUUUCUACCGGUCAGCGUACGGAUUGUAUCUACGCUCCCAUUGGUAUACAUCGUUUCCAUGUGUUUUGCUGGAGUGUAAAUAAAAAAAAUCAUUCAAUAAAGUUGAAU